GACCUACUGGUGAAACUGGUAUCACAUCCACACUUGAUUCAAGCUUGGCGCCUUUGGUCGCAGAUGCGGAAGUUCCCCGUUCGAUUCGGGGGUGGGUCC